rnacentral:rRNA from 1 species
UACGUAGGGGGCGAGCGUUGUCCGGAUUUACUGGGCGUAAAGCGCGUGUAGGCGGCCGGCUAAGUCGGGUGUGAAAGCCCGGGGCUCAACCCCGGGAUGCCGCCCCGAGACUGGUCGGCUUGAGGACGGAAGAGGGGCGUGGAAUUCCUGGUGUAGCGGUGAAAUGCGUAGAGAUCAGGAGGAACACCCGUGGCGAAGGCGGCGCCCUGGUCCGUUUCUGACGCUGAGACGCGAAAGCGCGGGGAGCGAACGGG